CUGCCGUAAAGAGGCGUAGGCAUGGAAGAUUGGCUACUGUCAAAUGCGGAAGCAACUAAGCCACGACGGCACUUGCCCAACGCAGCCAUAUGGUUCCAUAGUGGGGCUUGCCCGAUUCCUCUGGCAUAAAAUAACAGAGAGCUGAGCUAGUUGGCAGGCCUCGCCUUGGUUAUUUGGAAACAGGUGCUACACUAACUAAAUGAUGGCAUUCGUCUCUUGGAGGUUUCGUAUAAAUAAAUAUAGAUGCU